AUUCAGGUGUUGGCAAGUCAUGUCUUCUCCUGAGAUUUGCUGAUGAUUCAUACCUGGAAAGUUACAUCAGCACGAUUGGCGUUGACUUUAAAAUACGCACUGUGGAGCAAGAUGGAAAGACAAUUAAACUUCAGAUUGUAAUGUUCUCUUAUCUUGAUUGAAUUGAUCUUGUGGGCCAGUAGUACUUGAGUGUUUUGUCAUUUUUUGUUACCAUAGCUGGUAUCUCUGGCAAGGAGUU